rnacentral:rRNA from 2 species
UGGGGAAUAUUGCGCAAUGGGGGAAACCCUGACGCAGCGACGCCGCGUGAGCGAAGAAGGCCUUAGGGUUGUAAAGCUCUGUUGUAAGGGAAGAAUGGCAUCGGGAGUAAUACGCCUGAUGCAUGACGGUACCUUACGAGGAAGCCCCGGCUAACUACGUGCCAGCAGCCGCGGUAAGACGUAGGGGGCGAGCGUUGUCCGGAAUUACUGGGCGUAAAGAGCACGUAGGCGGAUAUUUAAGUCAGUUGUGAAAGACCGCAGCUCAACUGCGGGGUUGCAAAUGAAACUGGGUAUCUUGAGGGCAGGAGAGGGCAGUGGAAUUCCUGGUGUAGCGGUGAAAUGCGUAGAAAUCAGGAGGAACACCAGUGGCGAAGGCGGCUGUCUGGACUGACCCUGACGCUGAGGUGCGAAAGCGUGGGUAGCAAACAGG